CUCUCAGGGGCACGCCCCGCCCCAGUCUGCGUGGGCCCCGCCGCUCCCCGCCCCUCUCCCCCGGCUCCGGCCCGGCUCCUUCUCCCCAGCCCUGGCCCCCCAACCCCCCACCAGCCCCACGCGGACUCCCUUUGUUCCAGAGCCGCCAGCCUGGGUCUCGGGAGCCGCUGACUCAGCGGAGUGGAGCCAGCCUUCCGCGCUCCCGCCCCCACCCCGCUUUCUCUGGAGACCUGGGAGCCGGCGCCUGGGGAGGUGGGAGGUGCGAGCGCGCCAGCCCAGCCCUUCUUUUGUUCCCUAGGACAUUCCUUUGCUCCAGUCCUCCCGACCUGGAGCGUCUGUGGUUACUGUUUCAGGUUAUGUUUCAGGGAAACUGACACCGAGGAAGCAGCCCUGACACCACGUCCUGGUUGUUGGUCUUCAGGAAGCCCUUCGACGACCCCCUCCCUGAAUCUCAGUUUCCUCACUUGUAAAGUGGGAGCCAAAAUGCUGAUGUGGAAGGGUCACUAUGAGAUUAAGUGCGAAAACACCAAUAUAAAGCGGCAGGAGUUAUCGUUUACAUUCGAUGAAAUGCACAGACAGAACUUACACGUGCAGUUUCACGAGUUCCCAGAAAUGAAAACACCCCUGUAACCCACAUCUCUAUCAAGACAGAACAUCUCCAGCCCCAGAGAAAGUUCUAAGAGUUCCUACCCAGUGAAUCCCACACACCCCACCCCAGGCAACCACUGGACUCCCUUCUCUGACAACAGGAUGAUGGCCUCCAACAGUCCAAGACUUCGCUUACAAUUUUAGGAAGAAAGAUAAUUUUCUCCAAAAGCUCUGGGGGGAAAAAUAUCUCAGGCGGACUCUAUUUGACUCAGAGAAAGUAUCUGUUCUUUCUCUGAUCCAGUCACUGAGAUUAGGCAAAUAGGAUACCCUGUUGGGCAGGACAUGGCCAUGCCCACCCCUGUCACCAAGAACAGGUAGGCUAGAAUUAGUAUUGGUCAAACCACAAAGAACAGUUCCUUAUAAAAAAUAAAAAUGAAAAUAAGGGAGGAUUUUCUCCCCCAAAAGAAUAAGGAAGGAGUUCUGGGCAGACCAGUACAACCAGUCUACUUUAGAAAACUCUGACCAUUCUAUCAUUAUUUUAUGUUGUUCAACCGGAGAAUUGGCACCUCCAGCUGAAAAGAGGCCAGAUUUUGGAGGCAGACAGGUCUGAGUUCAAGCCCAAGGUCUGACACUGAGCUCUUUGAACCUCCGUUGUUAGCUCGCAGCAUUGUAAUGUAGUGAUUCAUUCCUGAAAUUCUGGGUAGCAACCUUGAAAGGAUUAAAAGACAUAAUCACAGUGCAAGAUGGCCACAGAAUUUUGACAUCACAUGAUGUGCUCAAAGUGCUUGUAAGUAUCAGGCUGGGUCAAGGGCCUUCUCUGUUUGAGAACAGUUUCCUGCCUUCACCAUGUCCUUUCAUACUCAGAAGGCCAGGGUCUUGCAUGUUACAGUCAAGACACAGUCUCUCCGGGGCAUCAGCUGGGGGCGUUACACCUCUCAGCCAUCUGUCUGCUGGACAUCAUCAUAACAGCAUGUAUGCCCAGGGAGAGCAUAGUAAAUGUGUUUCACACAUUGAUCCAAAUUCAGCAACGUACCUGUGAAGACCGUGGAACAAGGAGGGGCAGUUGAUGGCACCAGCACCAAUCGGUCACAAUGCAUUCUGUAGCACAGAACAGGAAUCCCAACUCAAACUGGCUUAAGCGAAAAGGAUGUUUAUCAUCUCACAUCACAGACGGUGUAGGGGUAGGGAGAGCUUCUGGGCUGGCUGAUGAUGACUCCACAAUGCCACGCAGGACGCGGGUUCAGGCCACCUCUCCGCUUUGGCGAUCUCAGUGUUGGUUCUUAUCCUCAGGUCGGUUGAAAGAGCUGCAGUUCUGAGGGCUCACACCCAAGCACCACCGUGUUGAGGGAAAGAGGAGAGUCCGUACCAUUCUGUGACCGUCUCUUAGGAGAAGACAUGUCCCCGAAGCUCUCCGGCAGAGCCCGCCCAGGUCCCAUUGGGCAGAAUUGGGUCUCCUGACCAAUCUUGAGCCAUCGCUGUCUAAGGGAUGGAAUCAUCAUGAUUAGCUUGGAUACAUCAUCUGGGUGUGGAAUGGAUGUGGGAGGUGGGGACUAAGGCCGCCACCAGGGACCAAUUUACAUAAGAGAUGUCGAAGGCCUGGUGGGUGCUGAGCUACAAAUAGCUCCCUUCUCUUUCUGUCUUGGAAUUGAUACUGUGAUUAGAUGGCGUGUCCAAAGAAGGCCAAUGUCAGAGAGCUGUCCCAUCCAGGGAUCACAAGGUCUUUGGCAGGGACCUGGUGAAGGCUAUUUGUUUGCAAGAAACUGAAACUGAGCUCCGUUCAAGCUCGGUCAAAUAAAAAGGGGUUGUGAAAU